rnacentral:rRNA from 1 species
AGUGGGUGUAACGUACCUACUAGCCUACGACGGGUACGGGUUGUGAGAGCAAGAGCCCGGAGAUGGAUUCUGAGACACGAAUCCAGGCCCUACGGGGUGCAGCAGGCGCGAAAACUUUACAAUGCGGGAAACCGUGAUAAGGGAAUCUCGAGUGCCAGCAUAUAAUGUUGGCUGUCCAGAUGCCUAAAAAGCAUCUGUUAGCAAGGGCCGGGCAAGACCGGUGCCAGCCGCCGCGGUAACACCGGCGGCCCGAGUGAUAACCGUUUUUAUUGGGUCUAAAGGGUCUGUAGCCGGCCAUGUAAGUCCCUUGGGAAAUCUGGCAGCUCAACUGUCAGGCUGCUAGGGGAUACUGCUUGGCUUGGGACCGGGAGAGGUGAGAGGUACCUUGAGGGUAGGGGUGAAAUCUUGUGAUCCUCGGGGGACCACCAGUGGCGAAGGCGUCUCACCAGAACGGGUCCGACGGUAAGGGACGAAAGCUAGGGGCACGAACCGGAUUAGAU